rnacentral:lncRNA from 1 species
UGGCUCGGCCAAUCCAACCAUUCAUCAGAUAGUAUAAUAAAGUCAUCAUAUGAUGAAUAAUAAUUCCAUCAUUCAGAGAAACACUAGAUGGAUGGCGCCUGCAAUAUCAAUCAGAAAUAAUGGAUCCAUUAUCAUUCACCUUAAUGGGAUGCUAUGAUCUAGUUAUCACUAUAACUAGCUCAUUUUAUGAACCUAAUAAUUUAGAAGAUUUGGUGAACACAAUUUAUCAUAAUUAAAUACAUAGACAAACUAAUCUCAAUCCUCCCACUGACUUCACCA